rnacentral:rRNA from 1 species
AAUCUUCCGCAAUGGAUGAAAGUCUGACGGAGCCACGCCGCGUGAGCGAAGAAUGCCUUCGGGUCGUACAUCUCUGUUGUUAGGGAAGAACAAGUACGAGAGUAACUGCUCGUACCUUGACUGUACCUAACCAGAAAGUCACGGCUAACUACGUGCCAGCAACCGCGGUAAUACGUAGGUGGCAAGCGUUGUCCGGAAUUAUUGGGCGUAAAGCGCGCGCAGGCGGUCCUUUAAGUCUGAUGUGAAAGCCCACGGCUCAACCGUGGAGGGUCAUUGGAAACUGGGGGACUUGAGUGCAGAAGAGGAGAGUGGAAUUCCACGUGUAGCGGUGAAAUGCGUAGAGAUGUGGAGGAACACCAGUGGCGAAGGCGACUCUCUGGUCUGUAACUGACGCUGAGGCGCGAAAGCGUGGGGAGCAAACAGG